CUGUGCCUGGAAGCACAGCUGUGACUCUGCUGGGGAGGAAGCAGGGCCAGGGCAGCUCUGCCCUCCCCAAUCCUCCCCUGGGUCUUUUCAGCCGUGGGGACACGCACCCCGAGGGCCUCUGCUUGGCCUGACCCUGCUGCAGGGGCUCUCUUUCCCCACUGACAGUGGAGAUGGCCAGUUUUUUGAGCUCCUCUCUGCCCAGCUGCCUCCCCUCCCUCCUCCUCCUCCUCCUCCAGCUGUCUUCCAGCUCUGCAGGACAGUUCAGAGUAAUGGGACCAGGGCAGCCCAUCCGGGCGCUGGUGGGGGAUGAAGCGGAAUUGCCCUGUCGCAUAUCUCCAGGAAAGAACGCUACAGGCAUGGAGGUGGGAUGGUACCGACCCCCCUUCUCCAGGGUGGUUCAUCUCUACCGAAAUGGCAAGGACCAAGCUGAAGAGCAGGCGCCUGAAUACCGGGGCCGCACGGAGCUGCUGAAAGAGACUAUUGGGGAGGGGAAGGUGACCCUCAGGAUCCGGAAUGUAAGGUUCUCAGAUGAAGGAGGUUUCACCUGCUUCUUCCGAGAUCAUUCUUACCAAGAAGAGGCAGCAAUGGAGUUGAAAGUGGAAGAUCCCUUCUACUGGAUCAACCCUGGGGUGCUGGUGCUCAUCGCAGUUCUGCCUGUGCUCCUUCUGCAGAUCACUGUGGGCCUUGUCUUCCUCUGCCUGCAGCGCAGACUCAGAGGAAAAAUUCCAGCAGAGAUAGAGAAUCUCCACCGGACUUUUGAUCCCCACUUCCUGACGGUGCCCUGCUGGAAGAUAACCUUGUUUGUAAUCGUGCCAGUUCUCGGACCCCUGGUGGCCUUGAUCAUCUGCUACAACUGGCUACACCGAAGACUGGCAGGUGCAGUGCUGGGGCAGCAAACAGGACCACUGAGCAGCAGGGGAGCAAGCCAGCCCUGAGUGGGAAACAUAAAGAGGGUGGAUGGAACCAGGGCUCAAGAUUCAGAGCUGGAAUUUCCUUCCUGCUCUGUCCACAUGGCCAACUCCAGGCUCCUCAGAGAAUCCAUGAAGAGAACCACUUACUGAGCUCUGUGGGGUCCCUUAGUGGAAAGGGAGGGGGCGUGACUAUGAAUUCCACAGGGAGGAUGUGGGAGGAGUUAGUCGUCUUCCACUCAUCUAUUUCUCUUUGUUUUCAGGGCAAUUUCUUGAAGAGCUAAGAAACCCCUUCUGAAUGAUGUCGCAUCUUGGCAGGGUGGAGAAGAGCCUGGUUGGCCCAGAGACUGGUCCUCGG